rnacentral:rRNA from 1 species
GCGUGAGUGAUGAAGGCCUUAGGGUCGUAAAGCUCUUUCACCAGGGAUGAUAAUGACAGUACCUGGAAAAGAAACCCCGGCUAACUCCGUGCCAGCAGCCGCGGUAAUACGGAGGGGGUUAGCGUUGUUCGGAAUUACUGGGCGUAAAGCGUACGUAGGCGGAUUAGUAAGUUAGGGGUGAAAUCCCGGGGCUCAACCCCGGAACUGCCUCUAAAACUGCUAGUCUUGAGUUCGAGAGAGGUGAGUGGAAUUCCGAGUGUAGAGGUGAAAUUCGU